rnacentral:rRNA from 1 species
CUUUACUAUAGCUUUAUAUUGUUAAUGAAAUUACGAUGUGUAGGAUAGGUGGUAGACUUUGAAGUGGUGACGCUAGUCAUCAUGGAGUCGUCCUUGAAAUACCACUCUUUGUAUUUUUAUUAUCUAACUGACCCUUGUAAAGCAGGGGCAAGAAAGUGUAUGGCGGGUAGUUUGACUGGGGCGGUCGCCUCCUAAAGUGUAACGGAGGUGCACAAAGGUGAGCUCAGGUGGUUUGGAAAUCCACCUUUAGAGUGUAAUGGCAUAAGCUCGCUUGACUGCGAGACUGACAAGUCGAGCAGGGACGAAAGUCGGUCAUAAUGAUCUGGUAGUUCCGAAUGGAAGGGCUAUCACUCAACGGAUAAAAGGUA